CAGGUUGGGGUGCGUGCACGGUGUGCCUCCCACCCACGCAGUUUAUCCAGUAAAGCAAAUGAUUAGAGGCCUUGGGGCCAAAAC
rnacentral:miRNA from 1 species